rnacentral:rRNA from 1 species
UACGUAGGGUGCAAGCGUUGUCCGGAAUUAUUGGGCGUAAAGAGCUCGUAGGCGGUUUGUCGCGUCUGCUGUGAAAAUCCAGGGCUUAACCCUGGACCUGCAGUGGGUACGGGCAGACUAGAGUGCGGUAGGGGAGAUCGGAAUUCCUGGUGUAGCGGUGAAAUGCGCAGAUAUCAGGAGGAACACCGGUGGCGAAGGCGGAUCUCUGGGCCGAUACUGACGCUGGAGGAGCGAAAGCGUGGGGGAGCGAACAGGA